CUGGACACUUCCACCAUUGAUUGUCUCUAAUUAUUGAGCUUGAAAAUCGCUACGCUCCACAAGUAAUAGAUUAUUUUUUUUCAACAUGUAAAUGCACUUGUAUAACAGUUUGGUUGAGAAGAAUUGGAAAUAAUAAUGGAGUCAUGGCUUAUCCUCAUUAUCAUCCUCAUCCUCACUUUCUUCAUCUCUUUCUUCCUCAAAUCCAAUAAACAGAAGAAAUUUCCACCAGGACCCUCUGUUUUCUCUGUGAUUACCAGCUUCCUACGCGCUGAUGCUGAUAUAGAACUCAUCGCGAGGGACCUCAAGACUAAAUAUGGUCCUAUUUUCAAUUUGAGAAUUGGAAUUGGAAUUGCAUUUCGUCGUCCUUCCAUAUUUGUUGCUAGCCACUCAUUAGCCUAUCAAGCUUUAGUUCAGCAAGGUGUUGUUUUCUCUGACAGGCCAAAGGCUGCUCAGACCAGUGUAUCCAUUCACAGUAACCGAAUUAUCCUAACCACCCUCCCCUAUGGCCCAACAUGGCGCCUCCUUCGUCGAAACAUUGUAUCAGUUAUCCUCCACCCUUCUCGCACUAAGUCCUACUCUAAUGUCCGAUCUCGGGUACUCUCUACCCUUAUUCAGCAGCUCCGUUCUGAUUCUGAAGCCACACAAGUGAUUACAUUAAUUGAACAUUUUCGUUUUUCCGUGUUCUGUCUUCUUGUCCUGAUGUGCUUCGGGGACAAGAUAGAUCAGCAUCAAGUCGAACAGAUAAAAGAUGUACAACGAAGAUGGAUUCAAACCAUGGGUCGAUUUGUUAAUCUCAGUUUCUUCCCAAGAAUAAUUCAAAAGUUCAUUUUCAGGAAUCAAUGGAAGGAGCUCAUGCAAUUGAUGCAGGAGCAAGAGAGUGUAUUUAUACCACUGAUCGAGGCUCGAAUGAAACCAAAAACCGAGGAAGAUGUGGUGGCUUAUGUGGAUACAUUGCUGGAUUUGGAAUUCCCUGAGGAAAAAAGGAAAGUUUAAUCAGGGAGAGAUUGUUAGCCUCUGCAGUGAGUUCCUCACCGGUGGCACCGAUACUACAUCCUCCUCAUUGCAAUGGAUUAUGGCUAACUUGGUUAAAUACCCUUGUAUUCAGGAAAAACUAUACCAAGAGAUAUGUGAGGUAAUGAGCAGAGGGAAUUCGAAGACGGAUGGAGUGACAGAGGAGGAGGAGAUAGUGAAAGAGGAAGAUCUAGAGAAAAUGCCUUACCUAAAAGCAGUGAUCUUGGAAGGUCUAAGGCGGCAUCCACCAGGUCACUUCCUGCAGCCACACACGGUGACCGAAGAAGUGGAACUCAACGGUUAUGUCAUCCCUAAGGAUGCACCAAUCAAUUUCAUGGUUGCGGAUAUGGGAUUGGAUCCACUAGUGUGGGAGAAUCCCUUGGAUUUCAAUCCAGAUAGGUUCUUAUCAAGUGAUGAUACAGAAGCGUUUGAUAUAAUAGGGAAUAAAGAGAUUAAGAUGAUGCCUUUUGGUGCAGGAAGAAGAGUAUGUCCAGGCUAUCUCUUGGCUCUGCUCCAUUUAGAGUACUUUGUGGCUAAUUUGGUCUGGCAUUUUGAGUGGAAGCCUGUGGAUGGAAACAAUGUUGAUCUAUCUGAGAAGCUCGAAUUCAGCGUUACAAUGAAGAAUCCAUUGUGUGCUCACAUCCGUCCCAGAGUAAACAAACUUGAAUGAGCUACCUGCUAAUGUUGUUUGUUUUUCUUUCUCUUGAAGUUUAGAUAUGGGUUGCAUCUCUAAUGCACAAACAGUUAAUGUAUGUUAAAUUCUAAAUUCAAGUGUUAAAAGUCAAACUUCAUGCUAAAAUAAUCAAAG